GGCAGGUGAAACUAAAAACCCCAGGAUGUUAGGAGUUUCAAGGCAGAUGAGCAUUGAUGAAGUGAAUAUGCCCACAUAUGUCUCCUUCAGGAUGACAUACAAACAACAUUGACAAGACAUGAGAAUUACUUAUAUACCUACUUCCCCCGGACUGUGAAGUCUGGGACCAGGAUUGAUGUAUCUUUUUGUCUCUCAUAACAUCUAACAAAGUG